rnacentral:tRNA from 1 species
GCGCAAGUACCCAAGUGGUCGAAGGGGGAGGUCUGCAAAACCUCUAGGCCGAAAGGCUCACGUAAGUCCGAAUCUUACCUUGUGCU